rnacentral:rRNA from 1 species
UACGUAGGGUGCAAGCGUUAAUCGGAAUUACUGGGCGUAAAGCGUGCGCAGGCGGUGAUGUAAGACAGAUGUGAAAUCCCCGGGCUCAACUUGGGAACUGCAUUUGUGACUGCAUCGCUGGAGUGCGGCAGAGGGGGAUGGAAUUCCGCGUGUAGCAGUGAAAUGCGUAGAUAUGCGGAGGAACGCCGAUGGCGAAGGCAAUCCCCUGGGCCUGCACUGACGCUCAUGCACGAAAGCGUGGGGAGCAAACAGG